CAGCCGCCGCGGUAAUACGAAGGGUGCAAGCGUUAAUCGGAAUUACUGGGCGUAAAGCGUACGUAGGCGGUUUGUUAAGUCUGUUGUGAAAUCCCCGGGCUCAACCUGGGAAUGGCAAUGGAUACUGGCUCGCUAGAGUGUGUCAGAGGAUGGUGGAAUUCCCGGUGUAGCGGUGAAAUGCGUAGAGAUCGGGAGGAACAUCAGUGGCGAAGGCGGCCAUCUGGGACAACACUGACGCUGAGGCACGAAAGCGUGGGGAGCAAACAGGAUUAGAUACCCCGGUAGUCCCUGUCUCUUAUAC
rnacentral:rRNA from 1 species